rnacentral:rRNA from 1 species
AUGGUCUUGCUAUCACUAAGAGAUGGUCCCGCGGUGUAUUAGUUAGUUGGUGAGGUAAUGGCUCACCAAGACAAUGAUACAUAGCCGAGUUGAGAGACUGACCGGCCACAAUGGGACUGAGACACGGCCCAUACUCCUACGGGAGGCAGCAGUAGGGAAUCUUCCACAAUGGACGAAAGUCUGAUGGAGCAACGCCGCGUGUGUGAUGAAGGGUUUCGGCUCGUAAAACACUGUUGUAAGAGAAGAAUGACAUUGAGAGUAACUGUUCAAUGUGUGACGGUAUCUUACCAGAAAGGAACGGCUAAAUACGUG